rnacentral:rRNA from 1 species
UACGUAGGGUGCAAGCGUUAAUCGGAAUUACUGGGCGUAAAGCGUGCGCAGGCGGCUCUGCAAGACAGAUGUGAAAUCCCCGGGCUCAACCUGGGAAUUGCAUUGGAUACUGGCAGGCUAGAGUGCGGUAGAGGAUGGCGGAAUUCCCGGUGUAGCAGUGAAAUGCGUAGAGAUCGGGAGGAACAUCUGUGGCGAAGGCGGCCAUCUGGACCAGCACUGACACUGAGGCGCGAAAGCUAGGGGAGCAAACAGG